rnacentral:rRNA from 1 species
AAACCGCAUGGUUUUGAUUUGAAAGGCGCUUUCGGGUGUCGCUGAUGGAUGGACCCGCGGUGCAUUAGCUAGUUGGUGAGGUAACGGCUCACCAAGGCCACGAUGCAUAGCCGACCUGAGAGGGUGAUCGGCCACAUUGGGACUGAGACACGGCCCAAACUCCUACGGGAGGCAGCAGUAGGGAAUCUUCGGCAAUGGACGAAAGUCUGACCGAGCAACGCCGCGUGAGUGAAGAAGGUUUUCGGAUCGUAAAACUCUGUUGUUAGAGAAGAACAAGGAUGAGAGUAACUGUUCAUCCCUUGACGGUAUCUAACCAGAAAGCCACGGCUAACUACGUGCCAGCAGCCGCGGUAAUACGUAGGUGGCAAGCGUUGUCCGGAUUUAUUGGGCGUAAAGCGAGCGCAGGCGGUUUCUUAAGUCUGAUGUGAAAGCCCCCGGCUCAACCGGGGAGGGUCAUUGGAAACUGGGAGACUUGAGUGCAGAAGAGGAGAGUGGAAUUCCAUGUGUAGCGGUGAAAUGCGUAGAUAUAUGGAGGAACACCAGUGGCGAAGGCGGCUCUCUGGUCUGUAACUGACGCUGAGGCUCGAAAGCGUGGGGAGCAAACAGGAUUAGAUACCCUGGUAGUCCACGCCGUAAACGAUGAGUGCUAAGUGUUGGAGGGUUUCCGCCCUUCAGUGCUGCAGCUAACGCAUUAAGCACUCCGCCUGGGGAGUACGACCGCAAGGUUGAAACUCAAAGGAAUUGACGGGGGCCCGCACAAGCGGUGGAGCAUGUGGUUUAAUUCGAAGCAACGCGAAGAACCUUACCAGGUCUUGACAUCCUUUGACCACUCUAGAGAUAGAGCUUCCCCUUCGGGGGCAAAGUGACAGGUGGUGCAUGGUUGUCGUCAGCUCGUGUCGUGAGAUGUUGGGUUAAGUCCCGCAACGAGCGCAACCCUUAUUGUUAGUUGCCAUCAUUCAGUUGGGCACUCUAGCAAGACUGCCGGUGACAAACCGGAGGAAGGUGGGGAUGACGUCAAAUCAUCAUGCCCCUUAUGACCUGGGCUACACACGUGCUACAAUGGGAAGUACAACGAGU